AGUGUCAGUCGCCUUCCCCAUACUCGUCAAGCAAGUUCUAGUCAUCAGGGAUUGUCCAUAUAUUACGUAAGAAGUUUUUCUGUUGUUUUAAUAAAGACGAAAAUAAUAUUUUUAUCAAGUUGAAAAGGACACAGCGAUAUAAACAAAAGAAAAAUGUCUUACGUAAUAUAUGGACGAUACCUCAUCAACUCGGACAGUUCAGGAUACGUCAAUCAGUUCGGGUCAAUCAUUUAAACGAAGUUAAAAAUUCGCAUCAAUAGCAGUUUAAUCUCUAAUCAACUUACCCUUAGUUGAAUUACGCCCAGAUAUUCAGCUAAAAAUAAAAUCUUAAAAUACGAGCUCCAACAAACGCCUUCAUCUGAGCGGUGCUCAAAAAAGGAAAAUAGUUAGAGAAAGAAGCAGCUCUGAAAAAAAUGAUACCCAUAACCUCAUUUUUUACGCCGCAACAUGAGGAAAAGAAAGAACAAGAAUCUGAUGUCCGCCGUGAAGAAAGUGAUUUUUCUAGUAGCGAUUUGCAGCAGAAAGAAACACAAGCAGAUGUAACCGUUACACCACCGAACACUGACCCUGACAUUUUCAUCGCUACAGAAAAUUUGAAAGAGGAAAACAUGAGUUUCUCAUUGCUACAGACAAUUUGAAAGAGGAAAACAUGGCAGCUUGUAUGCUAAACAAUACUUUAGAACAGUCUGAUUUGCUAGAAAAAGCACAUCCUACUGAUAAAGGACAUUACAAAGGCGUUUUCACUGCAGAAUUGAAAAAAUUUACAAUCUCGCAUGGGCCGUGCCAACCGAAAGAAAAAUCUUUCCAAGAAAAAUCUUUCUGGUGCAAAGUUCUUGACAUCGCGAGGCCAUUGGUGAUUCUGGAAAUAAUGAAAACUUUUUAUCAAUCGUUGAAUUGCUGGCGGUAUAUGACCUUGUUUUGAAAGAACUCAACACGAAACCUGAUAAUUCCAUUCGAUACCUGAGCCCUAAAAUUCAAAAUGAAAUAAUUGGCCUCCUAUCUAGGACUAUGGAAAAUGAAAUCGUCAAAAAUAUCCAAGAAGCGCUAUUUUUUCCAUCAUAACGGAUACAACUCAAGAUAUAGCUAAAAUUGACCAAAUGAGACAAAUUUCUAGAUAUGUGAGAAUUAUCAAGGAUGAAAACGAAAAUCCAGUCGAUGUUAAAAUCAUCGAAUCUUUUUUGGGAUUUGAAAAGGUCGAUGAUCAAACAGCUUCUGGACUGGAAUCAAAAAUAGUUGAUGUACUGAAGAAAAAGAAAAUCGAACUUUCAAAAUGUCGAGAACAGGGAAACGAUGGAGCUACUACAAUGAGUGGAAUUUACAACGGUGUUCAGAAAAAAAUUCUUGAUAGAGAAGAAAAAGACAUUUAUGUCCAUAGACUCAAUCUUGUUCUCAAUGAUGUCUCGAUGGGUGCAAUACCUGAAGUCCAAAAAUUCUGGGAAUUAAUUGUAUUGUGAUAUUAUGAAGGCGCUGUCCAAAAUCAUCUUUAUAAGUAAUUCGACAACCGAGCGAAAUGAAACAACCUAUCUACGUAAAGAGAUGGAAAAUUUCGAAUUUUUUUUUCAAAUUGUUUUGCGCACAAAAGUUCUGACGACAACAAACCUGGUUACAAAGGCUCUUCAAAAGCCAGACGCUGAGCUUUCUCAAACAAAUGUUUUACUCAAGCAAGCGUAUCAAGAUCAAACUAAGUGCUGAUUGGAGAGUCAGGUUGAGUUUCAGAACAAGCGGAUCAAGGAAACCAAGAAAUGUUUCGAAGAAUUGUGUGAAGACGAAAGACUAUCUGAUGGAGAAGCACGAUUCCGGAAUCUGCGAAAAAACUUGUCCUGGAUAAAGAAAUACGCGUACUAGUUUGUUCUCAAGCAGACGACAAUGCAAACAGUGCAAGUAGACAAAUUGCUGAGGACCUGAGCUUCUGCAAACCUUCGGUCCAUGGAGCGCUACAUGAUGCUGGGUACAAAUCUUAUAAACUACGAAAUGGCUGAAUUUUCAAGCAGAUUGGUUUUGGCAAUCGCUACAAAAUGUCUGUGCUUCCUGUCGAAGAAAUUGAGCGAAAUCUUUUGCUACUGCCAAUCACUUUGUUUACCGAAGAAUGCUCCUUUGUUUUGGAUGAAGGCAAUACAACAGCGGAGAUAUAUAUGGAGAUGCUGCAUCAAGAAGUUGGACCGACAUUAGUUAAUAUAUUAGGUGAUUUUUUGGCAACAGGAUGAGGCUCCAGCACACACUGCACAUAGGGUCAGACAUAUGCUGAGCGAUAUUUCUCACCGCCAUAUUAAUUAAAAUUUUUUAUAUGGAGCUAUGUCAAGUCCAAACUCUAUCGCUUUGAGUGAAUUUUCAACCUGAAAGAGCAUAAACGUUUGAUUGUAGACAUAAUGGUAAAACAAAUCAAUAGGAAUAUUUACCAGCAAGAGAAUCAGCACCACACUGAAGUACAAUUGCUGAAGGUUGAUAUGAUACCAUCACAGCUUCCAUCACUGGCUCGAAAAUCUUUUGGUAACCAACAUCAUUUAUUCCUGUCAGAAGAGGAACGUUCACCGAAUAAUAUUUGCCCUGAAAUUAAUGAUUAAUAUUUCUUUUCUCAAACUUAUAUAGUGAAAAUAGAGAUAUUUUUAUAGAUGCCAUUAAGGCAUGUGGUGUUCAGAAAGAACUGUCGAUUUUCUUACCGUUUCAGAACCAACUUCAUCAACUGCACCAGUACCAGGAAAGUAAUUUCCAUAUUUGUGGAAGGAAACGGUCAUCACUCUAUCGGUUAAAUAAAAUGCUUGCUCGACUCCAUCGCCAUGAUGCACAUCAAUAUCUAUGUAUAAAACCCUUUUGUGAUAUUUGAGCAAUUCUAGAAUGGCUAAAACUAUAUCGUUUACGUAACAAAAUCCUGAAGCCUCGCCACAUUUUGCAUGAUGCAAGCCACCAGCCCAGUUUAUGCAUAUGUCCGACUUUUGUUUAUUCAGCUUUAUGGCCGCUGCUAUUGAACCACCAGCAGAUAUCUGGGAAAAUUCGUAUAUACCUUCGAAAACAGGGCAAUCCGUUCCUAUGUUGACUGUUGAAAUUUAGAUACAAUAUAUAAAGUUGCAUUAGAGA